UACGUAGGGGGCAAGCGUUGUCCGGAAUUAUUGGGCGUAAAGAGCUCGUAGGCGGUCUGUCACGUCUGCUGUGAAAACUCGGGGCUUAACCCCGGGCCUGCAGUGGGUACGGGCAGACUAGAGUGCGGUAGGGGAGACUGGAAUUCCUGGUGUAGCGGUGAAAUGCGCAGAUAUCAGGAGGAACACCGGUGGCGAAGGCGGGUCUCUGGGCCGUAACUGACGCUGAGGAGCGAAAGCGUGGGGAGCAAACAGG
rnacentral:rRNA from 1 species